UAAAUUAAAACAUUCCUUUUUGCAUAUGUGCUUUAGAUGCCUGACAAAAAUAUAGACUUGGUUAAUACAAGCAUGGAGCAAAUGAGAGAGAUGCGUAGGAAGAAGAGAAAAAGAGUGGUUGCUUUAUUUGUUUCUACUGUCAUGAGCAUGAUUCUGCACUGGUAUCAAUGUAAGAGACCUAGACAUAUCGUUGAUCCGGAUGAAGUGGCU
rnacentral:lncRNA from 1 species